CCUACGGGGGGCUGCAGUAGGGAAUAUUGGACAAUGGGUGCAAGCCUGAUCCAGCCAUGCCGCGUGCAGGAAGAAGGCUUUCUGAGUUGUAAACUGCUUUUGCCAGGGGAUAAAAUACGCUUGCGAGCGGAAUUGAAGGUACCUGGUGAAUAAGCCACGGCUAACUACGUGCCAGCAGCCGCGGUAAUACGUAGGUGGCAAGCGUUGUCCGGAUUUAUUGGGUUUAAAGGGUGCGUAGGCGGCAUUUUAAGUCAGUGGUGAAAUACGGCAGCUCAACUGUCGAGGUGCCAUUGAUACUGGGAUGCUUGAGUACUGAUGAGGUAGGCGGAAUGGACGGUGUAGCGGUGAAAUGCUUAGAUAUCGUCCAGAACACCGAUAGCGAAGGCAGCUUACUAAGGAGUAACUGACGCUGAGGCACGAAAGUGUGGGGAUCAAACAGGAUUAGAUACCCUGGUAGUC
rnacentral:rRNA from 1 species